rnacentral:rRNA from 1 species
UCUACGGGACGCAGCAGGCGCGAAACCUCCGCAAUGCGGGAAACCGCGACGGGGGGACCCCCAGUGCCGUGCCUCUGGCACGGCUUUUCCGGAGUGUAAAAAGCUCCGGGAAUAAGGGCUGGGCAAGGCCGGUGGCAGCCGCCGCGGUAAUACCGGCGGCCCGAGUGGUGGCCACUAUUAUUGGGCCUAAAGCGGCCGUAGCCGGGCCCGUAAGUCCCUGGCGAAAUCCCACGGCUCAACCGUGGGGCUCGCUGGGGAUACUGCGGGCCUUGGGACCGGGAGAGGCCGGGGGUACCCCCGGGGUAGGGGUGAAAUCCUAUAAUCCCGGGGGGACCGCCAGUGGCGAAGGCGCCCGGCUGGAACGGGUCCGACGGUGAGGGCCGAAGGCCAGGGGAGCGAACCGGAUUAGAUACCCGGGUAGUCCUGGCUGUAAAGGAUGCGGGCUAGGUGUCGGGCGAGCUUCGAGCUCGCCCGGUGCCGUAGGGAAGCCGUUAAGCCCGCCGCCUGGGGAGUACGGCCGCAAGGCUGAAACUUAAAGGAAUUGACGGA